AGAAAUUCCUUCCUCCAUCGGUUCUCUAAGGAAAGUAGAUAUGCUUAGUGCCAAGGAUUGCGAGUUAUUGGUUGGACUUCCGGACUCGAUAGGCAGUUUGAUGAAUUUGUCGACCCUUGUCUUAUCAGGCUGUGUUGAUCUUGCGGUACUUCCAGACAGCAUUGAGUUCCUUGUGAAUUUGUGGUGCUUGUCAUUGAGAAGCUGCCACCAGUUGCGAGAGAUCCCCAACUCGAUUGGGAGGUUGAAAUCGUUGACUCAACUGGAUUUGUCAGGGACGGGGAUCCAGGAAUUACCUGAAUCGAUAUGGCAUUUGCAACGUUUGGAAGUUCUGGAUAUCGACCAUAGUAGCAUGACAGAGCUGCCUGAUGGUAUCGAAAGGUUGAAGAAGCUCUGAGAGUUAUAUGCUUGAUGGUGCCCAAAAUUGGAAGGUGAAUUUCCAAGUAUCCGUUUGGAUUUCAUGCUGAGGUAGAGAAGCUGCAAUAUCGUUUCUGGUCUCUCUAUUCAAGUUGCUCAUAAGUCUAGAUCCUAAUGGUGCUGUCUACGAUUGGUGUUGAUGGCUCUCUUUGUGCUGCUGAUGCUUGGGAGAUUUAGUUCCUCUAAUUAAUACGAACGGCUUGCUCUUUCUUUCUUUCUUUUGCUAUCCUAGUCCAUGUUCCCUUUCUUCAAAUUAAUAUUUAGUCCCUCAAUUCUACUUCUUCUGAAAAAGAAAGCCCUUAUGUUCUGUGUUAUUUCCACGACUUUAUUAAACAAUGCCAUUGGAAGGAUUUGGGGUGC